CGUCAGUGCGGCUGUGUUCUUAAUUUACAUUGAGCAAGCGACGUGUGACAAAGAGGCCAAGAUACUAGGUACUGGAGCAAUCGAGAAUCUGUGGUACCUGGCACCACCUGACAGAGAGCGGGGACGAUGACUCAUCUGCGAACGAACACGUUUGUGCAUGUCGAACCAUGGGAACAGGAGCAACGCAAAGCAACUCCAUCCAGUAUCCAGUACCCAGUACACAGUACACAUAUCGAACAUUGGUAACCUGUCCUGCUGUCUGUCUGGGCUUCAAGAGAACUCUACUUGGCCUCCGUCUCCGCCUCCUGCUCCGCACCUCUUCAAACGAUUCUGUUGGGGCGUUGGUUUCGACUUCCCCCAUCGGACCUUUGCAUUUGGCAUACAAAGCAUUGACCGCUGCCGCUGCCUGCCUGCCUGCAUUUGGCACUUGGAAUUCCACACCAGCUACAACAAAUUAAAUAAUAAAUACGAAGGAAAAAAGAGUAUGCGACAAUAAAUAGCGGAACCAAAUUAGGAAGUGGCCACGCCACGCCACACCACACCACACCACACACCACAAAGUCCCCAACUCCAUAUUCGGGUGACCACCGUACAGGACAGCAGCAACCGCAGCAGCAGUCAAGUGGGUCUUUGUACGGUCGGGGAGCAUAGACUGUCAUUGGCAUACUAAAUAUGAUGGAAGUGAUUGAUUCGGUGGCUUCUGAGCUGUGGCUCUGUGGCAGUUUGGUUAAAAUUGGGAUUAUACUAUAGCAUUGGCCAGCGGCUCUUUCGAGUUGCAAAUAAAUGAUAAAUAGCCACUUAGAAAAAAUAGUUACGCUUUAGACGAUGUAUAGAAGAUAUAUGUAUUUAUAGGUUAUUUAAAGAUUAACAAGCGAAAUGUGGCAAUACUUUCAAAGGGAAUUUACUCCAGGAGUAUAUCUUUUGAAAAUGAUCGAAUCAGUACGAUUUAGUUUGGUACAUAAAAAAAACAGUAUAUUUCUAAAGCUGUUUGGUUCGAACAAGUCACAAAGAGAUUUCACUACAUAUAGCCAAAAUGACUUAUCAUAUCUUUUUGCUGAUUAGGUUCAUCUUCUCCGAGGGUAAUCCCUUUAAUAAAAUUCACAUUCGAGAACCGAAACCAAAGAAAAAGU